UUUGAUCCUUGGGAUGAUCUUUCUUGUAGGCCCAAUCCCUUGGCAAGUCAUGUUGGACUCCUUGACUUUGUGUAAUUUGCAUUUGUUGCUCUUGAAGUCCAACUUCAUCUUCCUUUGCUAGAUGAAUCCUCCUUGGGUUGACUUUGAUCUCCAUGAGGUUGAGGAUCUUCAAAGGUCAACUCAUCAAGGUUACCUACAAGAUCAUCAUCACAAGAGACCUCCUUUCUAGGAGCAAAGGGAUUAGAUUCAUCAAAAACAACAUGCAUUGACUCUUCAAC
rnacentral:lncRNA from 1 species